rnacentral:rRNA from 1 species
GAGUGCGAUCAUACUAGUGUUAAUGCAAUGGAUCCCAUCAGAACUCCACAGUUAAGCGGGAUUGGGCUAGAUUAGUACUAGGAUGGGUGACCUCUCGAGAAGUCCUACUGUUGCACCCU